UUUUUAUAAAAUGAAAAAGUAGAUAAAUACUCGCGCCAAUUUCAUUAGACGGUCGUUGAGCAUUUGAGACUUGCGUCAGCGGUGGGUGGUGCAGUGUAGUGCCGGAAGUUUGUAUAGUGGCAGGUGAUAUAUUUUGUUAACAAGUGCAGAAUACUACUUUUGCAAUUAAUUUGGGAGAUGAAUACUUMUCUGAAGCGGACGGAGUGGAGUGAUGUUGAGACUGUGACAAGAGGCCUUUAAUGUUGGAGUAAAAACAAACUAAUUUGUUUAAAUAGAUCACUAAGCAUAAAAUGUACACAGAUAUACGUGAAACGUAUAUUUCUCCCUAACAAGGCUUAUCAGUGUAACAUAAAGAAUAAUUAACGAAAUCGUCAACAUUUACUUCGGCUAUUUCUAAAKAAUCGCUUAGCAUAUAAAAAUAAGUAAAGUGCCUUUUUAACAUUUUAUUGGCAACCCGUGUAUACAGACCCGCAACAAAAUCCUCACGUCCAAGGGAAAAGACAAAGAAAUAUUUUUGGUAAUGGGCAGACCGGUUAUUAACUCCGCAGUAUCGAUAUGCCUCUAGAUGUAGUGAAACGGAGACGAAAGAAAAUGCAGAGGAGGCAGAACACUGUAGCCCAUACGAUCCUCCUGAUGUCUCCCGUCUACCAUCACCAUAGCGAGGAACAAUGCAUUCCUCUCCAAACAGUUUCUGCUUGGAUGUUGUAGUAGCAGUGUCUGCGCUAAUUACAGUAGAUACAUUAACACCUUUACCGACUCCUAGACCAGUGAUUCCAUUUUUUGAAACCCGCAAAUCCAUGUAACGCCUUAAUAAAGUAUCAAAAGCAGAUAAAUACGAUUGGGAAAAUUUUUUAAGUUGAAAAAUAUUGUUAGUUCAAAUCUUACCGCAAAUUAUCUGAACACAUGUCAACAGAUGCCACUUCAAAGCAAAUAUUAUGCAUCACAAAGCCAU